GGACCAUAGCUCAGCGGGAGAGCAUCUGUUUUCCAAGCUGAAGCAGGUCUUAGGUUCAAUCCUUGGCAUCUCCA